AAGACUGUAUCUUCAGGGAUCAUUCCUUACCAGAGUAGUUUCUCAGAAUGCAAAGAGCACAGUGAGCCUGAGGAGGGGGUGCAGUGUUCGCUCUCCAGGAUGAAGCCUGCUCUUGGUGUUGCUUUGCUGCAGCUGCCAUUUGUCACUGAUGAUUGUUCUUUCCUUCCUUUUGCGGGAGCAAGAAGAGGAGGGUGCUGCCUGAGUGGU